rnacentral:rRNA from 1 species
GGGCAUGCCUGUUUGAGUAUCAUGAACACCUCAACUCUUCAUGGUUUUCCAUGAUGAGCUUGGACUUUGGGGGUCUUGCUGGCCUGCGGUCGGCUCCUCUCAAAUGAAUCAGCUUGCCAGUGUUUGGUGGGCAUCACAGGUGUGAUAACUAUCUACGCUUGUGGUUUUCCACCAGGUAACCUUCAGCAGUGGAGGUUCGCUGGAGCUCACAGAUGUCUCUCCUCAGUGAGGACAGCCCUUUGAAUGUUUGAUCUCAAAUCAGGUAGGACUACCCGCUGAACUUAAGCAUAUCAAUAAGCGGAGG